rnacentral:rRNA from 1 species
AGUGAACGCUGGCGGUAGGCCUAACACAUGCAAGUCGAACGGCAGCACAGUAAGAGCUUGCUCUUACGGGUGGCGAGUGGCGGACGGGUGAGGAACACAUCGGAAUCUACUUUUUCGUGGGGGAUAACGUAGGGAAACUUACGCUAAUACCGCAUACGACCUACGGGUGAAAGCAGGGGAUCUUCGGACCUUGCGCGAUUGAAUGGGCCGAUGUCGGAUUAGCUAGUUGGCGGGGUAAAGGCCCACCAAGGCGACGAUCCGUAGCUGGUCUGAGAGGAUGAUCAGCCACACUGGAACUGAGACACGGUCCAGACUCCUACGGGAGGCAGCAGUGGGGAAUAUUGGACAAUGGGCGCAAGCCUGAUCCAGCCAUACCGCGUGGGUGAAGAAGGCCUUCGGGUUGUAAAGCCCUUUUGUUGGGAAAGAAAAGCAGCAGGUUAAUACCCCGCUGUUCUGACGGUACCCAAAGAAUAAGCACCGGCUAACUUCGUG